GAUGAACGCUGGCGGCGUGCCUAAUACAUGCAAGUCGAGCGAACAGAUGAGAAGCUUGCUCCUCUGAUGUUAGCGGCGGACGGGUGAGUAACACGUGGGUAACCUACCUAUAAGACUGGGAUAACUCCGGGAAACCGGGGCUAAUACCGGAUAAUAUUUUGAACCGCAUGGUUAAACAGUGAAAGAAGGUUUCGGCUGUAAAUUAUAGAUGGACCCGCGCCGUAUUAGCUAGUUGGUAAGGUAACGGCUUACCAAGGCGACGAUACGUAGCCGACCUGAGAGGGUGAUCGGCCACACUGGAACUGAGACACGGUCCAGACUCCUACGGGAGGCAGCAGUAGGGAAUCUUCCGCAAUGGGCGAAAGCCUGACGGAGCAACGCCGCGUGAGUGAUGAAGGUCUUCGGAUCGUAAAACUCUGUUGUUAGGGAAGAACAAAUUUGUUAGUAACUGAACAAGUCUUGACGGUACCUAACCAGAAAGCCACGGCUAACUACGUGCCAGCAGCCGCCGUAA
rnacentral:rRNA from 1 species